rnacentral:rRNA from 1 species
AUUGAACGCUGGCGGCAUGCCUUACACAUGCAAGUCGAACGGCAGCACGGGUGCUUGCACCUGGUGGCGAGUGGCGAACGGGUGAGUAAUACAUCGGAACAUGUCCUGUAGUGGGGGAUAGCCCGGCGAAAGCCGGAUUAAUACCGCAUACGAUCUACGGAUGAAAGCGGGGGACCUUCGGGCCUCGCGCUAUAGGGUUGGCCGAUGGCUGAUUAGCUAGUUGGUGGGGUAAAGGCCUACCAAGGCGACGAUCAGUAGCUGGUCUGAGAGGACGACCAGCCACACUGGGACUGAGACACGGCCCAGACUCCUACGGGAGGCAGCAGUGGGGAAUUUUGGACAAUGGGCGAAAGCCUGAUCCAGCAAUGCCGCGUGUGUGAAGAAGGCCUUCGGGUUGUAAAGCACUUUUGUCCGGAAAGAAAUCCUUGGUUCUAAUAUA